UCCUGCUGUCCUUCAUUCCACCGGAUCCUGUUUCCCAGUCUGCAGAUUCCCAGUGGGAUGAAGCGCAGUAGGGU
rfam:Scleropages formosus scaffold1154, whole genome shotgun sequence.